GUGCUCCGAGGGAAGUGCCCGCAGAAUAUUCUUCCGCGCGGCUCGGGAUGCGGGUUCCCCUACUCGGUCCCGCUUGGCUCCUUGACAACAAGCACAGCUGAGCGCCCACGACGGGAAGGGUGACCGGGGGACCCUCCCCCGACGCGGCCCACGACAACUUUUACUUCAGACUCAUCAGACUUGAAGAACUACACCUGUAAACUACAGCAGACAUGCACGGCCCCCACACGUGAAGGGGAGUGAAGUCUUCAGAGGAAACACUGCCAUUAAACUUGAACUCCCUGUCCAUGAACUUGUGGCCCUUUGAAGCUACCUCCUCUGGACUUACAAUGCUGUCUGGGGACCACCAGGCCUGCCCCGCACCCCUCUCCUCACCCCACCACCUGAUCUCACCCUCUCCUCUGCUCACACGACACUGCACAAUGCCAAACCCAAUCCUCACCCCACAACCCACUCUGACCGCCUCCUGCACUGUCCUCAUGGACCCAGCACGCUCCUCCCAGCCAGCCUCCCACCGAAGAACCCACUCCCCUCCCCUGCCCUCCUGACAGGCCACGGCACUCUCAUCACCCCACAAGUCUGCACUGCAAAACCAUCUCCGCUCCUUACACACUCGAUCCCACAUCUCCCCUCCCCUCAGACCUCACACCAAGCUCCCACCCCCCAGCAUCUUCUUCCAGUCUGUAUGCCUGCCCCCACACGACUUUGUUUAUGAGGGCAGCAUGCUGCAUUAUCCCAACACUCCUGGAAUAAAUCCUAUUGUUCACGUCA